rnacentral:lncRNA from 1 species
AAUAAAAUGACAUACGUACCUAACUCGACGUACGCACGUAACGGGACCGGUUAUUGCUAACCAAUUAAUUUUGUUAAAUGCGUUACUCAAAUUUUAACUAAGUAUUCCUAAACUAUGAAACCCAUUCAUAAUAAAUUUUAUCAAUAUCAAAUAUUUCUAAGAUGAUGAAAAACGAAAGAAAUCAUGAUUUUUAUAUAUCACGUGAUUAUUGAGAUUCCCGCCUAAACUUCACUGUCAUAAGACCAC